UACGUAGGGUGCAAGCGUUGUCCGGAAUUAUUGGGCGUAAAGAGCUCGUAGGCGGUCUGUCGCGUCGGCUGUGAAAACCCGAGGCUCAACCUCGGGCCUGCAGUCGAUACGGGCAAACUAGAGUACUGCAGGGGAGACUGGAAUUCCUGGUGUAGCGGUGGAAUGCGCAGAUAUCAGGAGGAACACCAAUGGCGAAGGCAGCUCUCUGGUACGUGACUGACGCUGAGACGCGAAAGCGUGGGGAGCGAACAGG
rnacentral:rRNA from 1 species